CCUCCCCACCCCCCACUGCCCCUCCCCUAGUCCCCCCCAACAGACCCCAGUGUGUGAUGCUCCCCUCUCAGUGUCCAUGUGUUCUCAUUGUUCAACACCCUCCUAUGAGUGAGAACAUGCAGUGUUUGAUUUUCUGUUCUUGUGUCAGUUUGCUGAGAAUGAUGGUUUCCAGAUUCCUCCAUGUUCCUACAAAGGACACAAACUCAUUGUUUUUUAUGGCUGCAUAAUAUUCCAUGGUAUAUACGUACCACAGUUUCCUUGUCCAGUCUAUCAUCGAUGGGCAUUUGGGUUGGUUGUAAGUCUUUGCUAUUGUAAACAGUGCCACAAUGAACAUAUGUGUGCAUGUGUCUUUAUAAUAUAACAAUUUAUAAUCCUUUGGAUAUAUACUCAGUAAUGGGAUUCAAUUAAAACUGGGUAAUAAUACAUAGUCAAAUAAAGCUUAUAUUUCAGUUUUCAACUACAUUUAAAUUCUGUGUUUUGAGGUACUCUAAUACUUGUUUUUACUUUUUAAAUGAUCAGUAUUUGAAUAUUAAGUUUUAGAUUUUGGUCUUAGGCAGCCUGGGUCCGUGGGGACAAACAUCAGGAUUUCCUGUAGCCCAAGCUUCUUUAUUCAGUUGCCCCACCAAGUUGGUGGUCACUGGGCACCUGAGGCUUCUGGAUCUGAUCUGAGGUACCUCUCCCUCCAUAAUUCAUUCCACUCCUCCUGCUUGCCAUAGCCACCUUGGUUGCUGAGCACCUGACAAUCUCUCGUGCCUUUGGCUCAAGUUUUUCAUCCAACCUAAUCCCAUUCUCUCUACUUUUUGAACCCUAAUCAUUCUUUAGGGUCAAACUCAAAUGCAUUAUCUUUCAUAAAUACUUCCCAUAUCCUUCAAUAGUAGUAACAUCUUUGCUUCCUCUGUCUUCUCAUAAUUGUGCACAUGGUUACUUUAAGGGCAGGGACUACAUCUUGUCAUCAUUGUAAUCUCUACAGAACUUAGAAGAAUUUUCCGUGCAUGGUUGGUCCUCAGUAGCACUUGUUAUAUUGUAUUGUACUGAAAUGUUUUGAUAACACUGUCGGUGUUCUUUGAUUAGAAAAAGACAGCAAAACAAAAAAAGAAACAAGAAUUAGAGUAGAAAGCAGAUGAACAGGACUAAGAAAGUAUUGUGCUUUCAUUUUCUCAAUUCUUAGUUCCUGGAAGACUAAUGACUGGGCCUUAAUUUAACCUUUUAAUUUGCUCUGUCAUGUAUAAAUUGUAUAUUACCUCUACUGGCAGUAUGGUAACUAUAUUAAAGAAUAAGUAAAGGCAGAAUCAUUUAGAUAAUGAAUGAAUUUUCUUAAAAUGGUCAUGUGGGUAGUAUAUUUAAGUAAACGUUUUCAAGGCUGUACUAAAGCUGUAGAACACCACAGUUGGCUCUUAGAUAAAAACUCUGAGUUUGUGUAUAAGCCUGUAAUAGAACUCCCCAAAGACAACUUUAGUUAAAACCAAGUAGUCUUCCCAUGUUUAUUAGAACACAUUAGUGAUCUUUGUUUUGUCAUUUCAUAUUUAAAAGAUAUUACGAUAAACUAUUUCAAACAAUGGCAAUAAUGUGAAAUUCUCAGUAUGGUAAGUGGUUGGUUGCAUUUAUUAGCAAUAAGUAGGAACAACCUUUCUGUUUCAUGUACAUAGACAUUACCGUUCUCUUUUUUUUAAGGUUAAAUACUAUUGAUCUAUAACUUGGAAAGCAAAAUCUCUCUUAGCAUUAUUUAAAACCAUAUGUGAUUACUGAUAAGCUAUAAACAAUGAUUUGAAAUAAAUAUACAAAUUCACUAUAUUUAGAAACUGAUGUGUUAGCAUAAAUUUUUAAAAAGCUUUAGCAGCUCAAUUCUCUAUUAUAGAGAAUCUACAAAUCUUAUCCAGUUCCCUAUUUUUUGUAGGAAAAAUCCUAAAACCCAGAAAAGGGAUGUGGCAUCUCUCAGGAUGCAGUUUCUUAGUGGCAAAACCAGGACGAAAGUUCUAGACUUCUGACUCUCUAGCCUCUUCUCUUGAAAUCUUUGCUGCCUUUUAGUGCUUUAGUUGCAAAAAGGUAAACAAACAUAUAUUACGAUUUUAUGAUCAUGGUUUCUGACACUUCUAAAAAAUGAAUUUAUUUCUGCAAGUACUUUGGAUUCUUAACUGCAGAAGGUUAAUUCUGUUAUGAUAUCCCAGGUUUCUACUCCUCCCUUACUCCUUCCCUUCAAAAAUCAAAGAAAUAAUAUUAUUUUCUUGGGUCAGGAUUAGCAAGACAAAAAACAAAGCAACUUACUUUCAUGAUCAUUUGAUUCUUAAAGUCAGAAAUCUAUUUAAAUUAUUUCAAGUAAAAAAAAUGUACUGGAAGAACACGGAGAGAUCUUAAGGAACCCAGCUGCAAAAGUACAGUCCUCGUGGGAGGUGAGAGUUGUCAACAGUUUCUUUCUGUCUCCCUCUCUCUCUCUCUCUCUCUCUCUCUCUCUCUCUCUCUCUCUCUCUCUCUCGCAGCUAGUCUCAUCUCUCAUUUUGUUUGUAAGUUUGCUUCUCAGUUCUUCUGUUUCACCCUGCAGACCAGCUUUCUCUGAUUGCUUGCCAUUGUGCAUAUGGACAAUAAUGGCUAGCAGUACAUCACUCUACGACCCUACAAGUCCAUUUCCCAUCACUGUGUGAUCAGGUUCAGUCUGUGUGUCUGCUGUUUCAGAGAUUUGAAAUAAUCAUCAGGAUUGGUCCUUGGCCAAUCACUGGCUUUAAGCUAAAUGCUCUAAAGCUGGUUUCAAUUUUAGAGGUUGUAAGCUGGAGCAGAUUCCCUAAGAAGGCAGUGUAAGUGGGGUGGGCAAAGGGACUGAUACAUCCAAUCCUCUGCUCCUUUAUUAUAGUUGCUUGACAGUUACCUUAGAACUGCUUUCUCUCUCAGUCACCUGCCAGUGAUGUCUACAGAUAUUCCUGAGCCCCUCUAACGGCAUUCAUGGGUAAGUGGUUACCGAAAUUUUUCAUAAUAGUCAGAUCUGUUAUACUUUGAUGCCACUCUUGUCCUAAGUCAUGUACUUUAUUCACCUGGCACCCUAAGGCGAUCUUAAUGGUACCAUCCAAAUUGCCUUAAUUUAGAUGCUCUGUGCAGUCAUUUAAGCACUAAGCUACAAUUCUUUAGUGUUUCUCUAGCUAAAUAAUAACACUGAUUAGAAUGGUUGGAUUUAUUGAACAUCUAUCAUACAUUAGGCCAAGGAACCUGGGCUGCUUCCGUCUUCCAUCUAGGACCUCAGAGUCCUCUACUGUAUCCUCUAUAUCUGGUCAGCAAGCAAAAGAAGAGAGAGCCUGGAGAAACACAUGGGAAGAUGUUUGGGGUCACAAAUAUAAAGCUCUAUUUGCCAGGUUUGCUAAGAUGGUUUAUAAAAUUUCAUACAUAGCUGUCUCACAUUACCUGAGAGCUACAAGUAGGCUGCAGCUCUGCUUUAUCUAUAGCGUGACUAUGUAUCUGGUCUGUGUCUUCUCAUUCCAGAACCUGGAUAGAACAACAGUUCCUACAUGGGACAUAGUGUCUAUAAGGCGAGAGCAAAAGAGCAAGAGUCUGAGCAGAACCACACAAUUGAAUUUAAAGUUUCUCCUCAUAUAUGUGGCACAUAUUAUUUCUCCUUGCAUUCACUGGCCAGCCCGGUUAACACGGCCAAGCCUAGAGUUAACAGGGCAGGGUUGUAUUCAGUCUCCUAUGUGAAAGGGAGAUAGCAAAUAACUGUGAACAGUGAUAAUCUACUAUAAACACACACACACACACACACACACACACACAUUAUUUCAUGCAAUUAUCACAGCACUCUUAAAAGUGGAUAUUAUCACUAUUACACAAUUUAUUAAUUUAACAAAUAUAGAUGAGCACCUAUUAUGUUCUAGAUCCUGUGCUCCUGAGUAAAUAAGAGUCAAGUAGGGACCCUCCUAUCCUUGCCUCCUAUGCAUUGGUGAUAUGGGUUUAUUUUAUUUAAAAUGUUAUGACUCUCAGAGAUACUUUAUUGUAAAACAAACAAUUCUCAAACUCUGGGAUCAGGAUCCCUCUGCACUCUUAAAAAAUAUUGAGAGCCCAGUGAUGAUGAGCUUUUCUUUUUCAUAUGUUUGUUGGCUGCAUAAAUGUCUUCUUUUGAGAAGUGUCUCAAAUGCAUAUCCUUUGCCCACUUUUUGAUGGGGUUGUUUUUUUUCUUGUAAAUUUGUUUAAGUUUUCUGUAGAUUCUGGAUAGUAGCCAUUUGUCAGAUGGGUAGAUAUCAAAAUUUUUUCCCGUUCUGUUGGUUGCCAGUUCACUCUAUUGGUAGUUUCUUUUACUGUACAGAAGCUAAGUUUAAUUAGAUCUCAUUUGUCUAUUUUGGAUCUUGUUGCCAUUGCUUUUGAUGUUUUAGUCAUGAAGCCCUUGCCCAAGCCUAUGUCCUGAAUGGUAUUGCUUAGGUUUUCUUCUAGAGUUUUGAUAAUAUUAGGCCUCAUGUUUAAAUCUUUAAUCCAUCUAGAGUUAAUUUUUAUAUAAGGUGUAAGGAAAAGAUCCAGUUUCAGCUUUCUGCAUAUGGCUAGCCAGUUUUCCCAACACCAUUUAUUAAAUGGGGACUCCUUUCCCCAUUGCUUGUUUUUUUCAGGUUUGUCCAAGAUCAGAUGGUGGUAGUUGUGUGGCAUACUUUCUGAAGCCUCUGUUCUGUUCCAUUGGUCUUUAUCUCUGUUUUGGUACCAGUAUCAUGCUGUUUUGAUUACUGUAGCCUUGUAAUAUAGUUUGAAGUCACAUAGCAUAAUGCCUCCAGCUUGGUUUUUUUUUUGCUUAGGAUUGUCUUGGCUAUGUAGGCUCUUUUUUGGCUCCAUAUGAAGUUUAAGGUAUUUAUUUCUAAUUCUGUGAAGAAAGUCAUUGGUAGCUUGAUGGGGAUAGCAUUGAAUCUAUAAAUUACUUUGGGCAGUAUGGCCAUUUUUACGAUAUUGAUUCUUCCUAACCAUGAGCAUGGGGUGUUUUUCCAUCUGUUUGUGUCCUCUCUUAUUUCCUUGAGCAGUGGUUUGUAGUUCUCCUUGAAGAGGUCCUUCACGUCCCUUGUUAGUUGUAUUUCUAGGUAUUUUAUUAUCUUUGUAGCAGUUAUGAAUGGUAGUUCACUCAUGAUUUGGCUCUCUGUCUAGUAUUGGUCUAUAGGAAUACUUGUGAUUUUUGCACAAUUGAUUUUAUCCUAAGACUUUGCUGAAGUUGUUUAUCAGCUUUAAGGAGAUUUUGAGCUGAGACAGUGGGGUUUUCUAAAUAUGCAAUCAUGUUAUCUGCAAACAGGAACAAUUUGAUGUCUUCUCUUGCUAUUCGAAUACCCCUUAUUUCUUUCUCUUGCCUGAUGGCCCUAGCCAAAAGUUCCAAUACUAUGUUGAACAGGAGUGGUGAGAGAGGGCAUCCUUGUCAUGUGCCAGUUUUGAAAGGGAAUGCUUCCAGUUUUUGCCCAUUCAGUAUGAUAUUGGCUAUGGGUUUGUCCUAAAUAGCUCUUAUUAUUUUAAGAUAUGAUCCAUCGAUGCCUAGUUUAUUGAGAGUUUUUAGCAUAAAGGGCUGUUAAAUUUUGAGAUAUUGAGAUAUAUGCAUAUAUUGAGAUAAUCAUGUGGUUUUUGUCUUUGGUUCUGUUUAUGUGGUGGAUUACAUUUAUAGAUUUGUGGAUGCUGAACCAGCCUUGCAUCCCAGGGAUGAAGCCAACUUGAUCGUGAUGGUUAAGCUUUUUGAUGUGCUGUUGGAUUCGGUUUGCCAGGAUUUCAUUGAAGAUUUUUGCAUCAGUAUUCAUCGUGGAUAUUGGCCUGAUAUUUUCUGGUUUGACACUGUUCGUAGGAGUGUAAAUUAAUUUAACCAUUGUGGAAGACAGUGUGGUGAUUCCUCAAGGAUCUAGAAACAAAAAUACCAUUUGACCCAGCAAUCCCAUUACUGGGUAUAUACCCAAAGGAUUAUAAAUCAUUCUUUCAUAAAGACACAUGCACAUGUAUGUUCACUGUGGCGCUGUUUACACUAGCAAAGACUUGGAACCAACUCAAAUGCCCAUCAAUGAUAGACUGGUUAAAGAAAAUGUGGUACAUAUAUACCGUGGAAUACUAUGCAGCCAUAAAAAAGGAUGAGUUCAUGUCCUUUGUGGGGACAUGGAUGAAACUGGAAACCAUCAUUCUCAGCAAACUGACACAAGAACAGAAAACCAAACACCGCAUGUUCUCACUCAUAAGUGGGUGUUGAACAAUGAGAACACACAGACACAGGGAGGGGAACAUCACACAUCAUGACUUGGGGGAGUGAGGGUCUAGGGGAGGAAUAGCAGAGGGUGGGGGUAUUGGGGAGGGAUAGUAUUGGAAAAAAUACCUAAUGUAGAUAAUGGGGCAAUGGAUGCAGCAGAACACCACCAUGGCACAUGUAUACCUAUGUAACAAACUGCAUGAUUGGCACAUGUACCCCAGAACUUGAAGUAUAAUUAAAAAGAAAAAAAAGGAAAGGAAAAAAGAACAUUGAGAGCCCAAGAGAGCUUUUCUUUAUGUGGGUUGUGGCUCAAUAUUUACCAUGUUGGAAAUUAACACUGAGUAGUAUAAAAGAUGUUUAUUAUUUAGAAAUAAUAAUAAAUCCAUGUCAUAUUAGCAUUAAUACCUAUACAAACCUAUACAUAAAAUAUCUCUAUUUUCUAAAAUUAGUGAAGAAUGACAUUAUUUUACAUUUUUGCAAAUCUUUUUAACGUCUCACUAAAUAUAGAAGACAGGUAGAUUUUCUUAUCUGCAUCUAAUUCAAUCUGUUGUAUAUAAUACAUCAUGUCACCUUUUGAAAAACUCCACUAUAUGCUGUGAGGGAAUGAGAGUGAAAAACAAAUAACAUGUUAGUAUUGUUAUGAAAAUGGUUUUGACCUCACUGAGUUCCUGAAGGGAUCUUGGAGACCCUCAGCCAUCCCCAGACUACCUUUUGAGGAUCAAGAAUCCCUUAACCACAUUUUGGAAACUGCUAAAAUAUACCCUAAAAGCAAAUACAUGACAUUCUCACUUAGUACAUUUUCCUGAAGUGUCACCAUUUUAUUAAUCUGUUUCACAAAUUAGGUAGCUUUAUCAGUCAGGUGUGCUACUAACUGCUCUAACAGAUAAUCCCUAAAUUCCAGUGGCUUACUUGACACAGUAAAGCUUCAUUUCUUAUUCAUGUUGUAAUUCAUUGCAGGCCAAAGAGAGGGGCUCUGUUUCUCAGAGUCAUUUAGGGGGACCUAGGCUGCUUUCAUCUUCUAAUCUAGGGCCUCAUAGUGUUCCGCUGGAUCUUCCAUAUCCCUUGCUUGUCAGCAAACAAGGGAAGAGAGAGCCUGGAGAAUCACUUGGGAGGAUGUUUGGGGUCAUGUUUCCCUGACCAGAACUCAUACAUCACUCAUAACAGUAUUGUGGGCUAGGAAACAGACUCUGGUUAUAUGCCCAAAAGAAAAGGAAAUAACUGGGCUAGCCAAGACACACCUGCCUCCACCAGAGUAACAAGUUUAUGCUGAUUAUUCUCAUUCUAUACAUAAAUAAGUUAAAAUUCAAUUAUUUGUUUUCAGCUUUUUGCUCUUACAAAGCUUAAGUGGCAAACAGUGUAAAAUAGUAACACCUUAUGGUUUGAGACAAGUUGUAGGAUCAUGCAAUUUAAAUUUUUUUAAAAACUUUUUUUGUUUGUUUUUAUUGCAUUUAAGGUUUGGGGGUACAUGGGAAGAACAUGCAAAUUUGUUGCAUAGGUACAUACGUGGCAAUGUGAUUUGCUGCAUUCCUCCCCAUCACCUAUAUCUGGCAUUUCUCCCCAUGCUGUCUCUCCCCAACUCCCCACCCCCCGCUGUCCCUCCCAUAGUUCCCCCCAACAGACCUGUGUGUGAUGCUCCCCUCCCUGUGUCAAUGUGUUCUCAUUGUUCAACACCCUCCUAUGAGUGAGAACAUACAGUGUUUGAUUUUCUGUUCUUGUGUCAGUUUGCUGAGAAUGAUGGUUUCUAGGUUCAUCCAUGUCCCUACAAAGGACACAAACUCAUAGUUUUAUUAUGGCUGCACAGUAUUCCAUGGUAUAUACAUGCCAUGUUUUCCCAUUCUAUCAUCGAUGGGCAUUGGGGUUGGUUCGAAGUCUUUGCUAUUGUAAACAGUGCUGCAAUGAACAUUCGUGUGCAUGUGUCCUUAUAGUAGAACAAUUUAUAAUCCUUUGGUUAUAUACCCAGUAAUGGGAUUGCUGGGUCAAAUGGAAUUUCUAUUUCUAGGUCCUUGAGGAAUUGCCACACUGUCUUCCACAAUGGUUGAUCUAAUUGACACUCCCACCAACAGUGUAAAAGCGUUCCUAUUUCUCCACAUCCUCUCCAGCAUCUGUUGUCUCCAGAAAAAACUUUAUUUUGAAAUAAUUUCAAACUUAAAGAAAAGUUACAAAAAUAAUAAAAAGAACUACCAUAUACUUUUCACCCAUAUUCACGAAUUAUUAACAUUUUGCCACAUUUGCCUUUACAGUUUUUCUCUAUGUAUGUGAUCGUGUGUGUAUACACAUUUUUCCCCUAGAGCUAUUUGAGAGUAUGUUGCAGACCUCGUACUCCUUUAUUAAACACUUCAGUAUAUAUUUACUAAGGACAUUCACUUACGUGACCACAGUACAGUUUUCGAAACCAUUUAACGUUGAUGCAGUGCUGCUAUCUGUGGUAUAGACAUACUGUCCUUCAUAGCAAUUAUGUUUUUGAUCCAGAAUUACACAGUACCUUUAGUUUUCACUUGUCUUCAUUAAUUUGGAAUGGUUCCUCAGCAUUUCUGUGUCUUUCACAUCAGUGACACUGCUGAAAAGUACAGGUCAGUUAUUUUGUAGAAUGCCCCUUAAUCCAGUUUGUCUGAUGUUUUCUUAUGAUUAGAAAACAUGAUGUGAUAUGAUUCAUCUUUGGCGAAAUCUACUAUGUAAGUGAUGUUGUGCCCUUCUCAGUGCAGUUUAUCAGAAGGCUUAUGAUGUUUACAGCUGAUGUUAACUUCCAUCACUUGGCUAAGGUGGUCUCUACCAGGUUUUCUCAUAGUAAAGAAAACCUGGUGGGGACCACCUUAACCAAGUGUUUUAACUUCAGUAUUGGUUGAGUCAUUUGUGGAGCUAUAAUUUGAGAUUAUGUAAAUAUCUUCUUCUUCAUUAAGCUCUCAUUCACCAGUUUAGAAUGAUGAUUCUUGCCUGAACUCAUUAUUACUAUAAUGGUUACAAAAUAAAGUGAAUUUUUAAGUUAUUUUCUAGUAACACAUGGAAGAACCAAGUGUAGUAGACAUUUAUUAGUUGUCUACCUAGCAUACUUUGCCACAUUUUUCUCUUCCAAAAAUUAUCUGAUGUUUGUUUGGGUCCCUUCGCUGGCCAGUGCAGCCUAUGUGUGUCUAGUAAAAUGGAUCAUGGUAUAGCCUCUGGAGUGGGCUUUGAUUGAUAGGUCAAUUAGUGCAUUUCAUUUAUUUAGCCACAUUUAUUCUUUUAGGAAUGGGAAUCUGACCUAUGCUGGGCCAAUUUGAGUGACUUUUAUGACUCUUGUUUAGGAUGCUAGACUGGGCAGCACUCUGUUUGUAGCUGGCACCCAUCCUGUGACCAUGAGGACAGAACUGACACCAGAUGGCAGAAAGGGAGAAACAAAGUAAUUGGGUCAUUGAUGACAGCUUUGAGCUGCCGAAUCAAUCAAUCCUAAAGCUCGCCCUACCUCAAUGGUUUCUAAUAAUGUGAGCUAGUACAUUCCAUUUAGGUGAACUUGCUUGAGUUAGAUUUUUUGUUAACUUUUGAGAUAAAAGAAUCCUAACUGAUACUCUAACAAAUAAAUAGUAAUAACUGUUUAACCUGGAAUCUAAAAAUUCAUAAGGAGGAUGAAUGAGACUUUUCUACUAUCCAACAGCAACCAAAACACGGGUGUAGGGCUUUUGUUUGUUUUGUUUGUUUCUCGUAAGCUCAGUGACAGGACCAUAUCAUAGGCCACUAAAGAUUACAGUAUCAGAAUCAGCAUUGUAUACUCUGUUUGCCAAAAGGUACUUGAGUUGCUUUUUAGUAGUAAAGUUGCUAAAGUUAUGGGUGGGGGGGCUAGCAUCAUUUGGACUCAUUUCCAUUCACCACAGCAACUUGAGUGAAUUAAAGCACAGCCGGAGCAUCAAGCACAAGUUUGUUGGGAUGUCACAGGAAGCUCACGAGCAUUGAUGAAGCUGGGCGUGGAAGCUAGUACUAGAAAGUCUUAAGCACGCUCUGUCUUUCAGCUUAGCUUUUUCCAUAUUUUGCUUCAUUUGUCCGCCAGGCAAUUUCAAAAUUCCUAGAGGGAGAAUAUGAUUGUGUUAGUUUGGGUAAGGCAUUUACCCCUGUUCCGUUCAGUUGUGCUCAUGACUAUAAAAAUGGUUUUAGAAGACCCUAGCCCUGUGGGUAAGGAGACAGAGAUUGAGGAAGGAAGAGACUCCGAAGUUGGCUGCUAGAAAAACAUUUGUGGAUGCCACAGCCAGCUGCGGGCAUAAUUGUAAAUAAGAAAAAUUGGUUUGUGAUGCCUUUCUUCUUCCCUCUCAGGACCCCUCUCUUCAUCAUUAGCCCGUGUUUCUCUAAUUUAAAUUCUUGCUAAGAUUCUAACUAAUAAAAUCUUAGAUUCCAGGAUGUUUUCUGUUGUUGUUGUUGUAGUUCUUAAAGUGUAGUUCCUGCAUGAGCGGCAUGGGCAACCUUGGAACUUGUUAGAACUGCAAAUUCUCAGGCUUUGCCCCAGACCUACUGGGAGAGAAACUCUGGAGACAGGACCCAGCAAUCUGUGGGUUAAAACAUUUUUUGUAAACAUUUUUAGUUAACAAGUAAUAAUUGUGCAUCCUUACGGGACACAGAUUCCCUAUACAUGUAUUUCAGUGUGCAUAUACAAUAUGUAAUGAUUAACAUUCAUUAUCUAAUUUAUUAUUUCUUUGUAUAAUAAACAUUUAAUCGACUCUUCUAGCUUUUUGAAUGUAUACAAUAAAUUACAGUUAAUCAUCUUCCCCCUACAGUGCUACAGAACAUCAAAACACAUUCCAUCUAGCUGUAAUUUUGUAUGUAUUAACCAACUGUUCCCCACACUCUUCCCAUCCUCUCAUACCCAAAAUUUUACUCUCUGUUUCCAUGAGCUCAGAUUUUUUUGUUGAUCCUCACAUAUGAGUGACAACAUCUUACUGUUGUUACUAAGUUCACUUAACAUAAUGUCUGAGACUUAGUUCAUUUAGCAUAAUGUCCUCCAGCCUCAUCCAUGUUACUGCCAGUGGCAGGAUUUCAUCUUUUUUUAUGGCUGGAUAUUAUUCCAUUGUGUAUAUAUGCCACAUUUUCUUUAUUCAUUUAUUCACUGAUGGACACUUAAGUUGAUUUCAUAUCUUAGCUAUCUAUCAGCAAUCCAUGUUUUUAACAGGUCGUUUAGGUGAUUCUGAUACACUUGAAGUUUAAGAACCACGAAUUAAGGAAUUCCUGAAAACCCACAAGGUAGCUAGAACUUAGGAUCUGGCUUCUUCCCAGCAUUUUGUCCCAACCUGAGCAUCCUGGUACUGCCUGGAUAUGGAAAUGUGGCCAUAUGUUCUUCACCCAUUGCUUAGAAGCCAGAGAGUCCCAACCUCUGGCUUCUAAAGAGUAAAACAGACUUCAACAGCAGAAAAGUUGUUGUCCAUAGCACUAAAGCCUCCAUCUCUUUGGUUUAGCCUUGAGAACAGACCACCAUGUGUCUGGCAUUUUUUAGAAAUUUGCCAUCUUAUGGAAAGACGUCUGAAUGUCUGUAAGACCUCAUUCUAAGACUGCAUGUGUACUUUUAUGAAAGACAUUCAGGAACACAACUGAUUCUUAAAGUGAAGUAAAUGUGAAUAAACUAGAGGAUUAGAUACGCUGUUUCCAGUGGCCUAUAGCCCUUCUUCCUCCUCUACCUUCCAACCCUCCUCCUUCCUCUUUCCUUCUUUUCCUUUUCCUUUCUCUUUCUUCUCUUUUCUGGCAUUUUGUUUCUUCUUUCUCUUCCAUUUCUCCCUCAUCCUUUUUCCUCUUUCCCAUUUUACUUCUCUUUGUCUUCUUUUCCCUCCAUCUAUUUUUUUUCUUGCCCUUUGCCUUCUACUCUUUUUUUUUUUUGAGAUGGAGUCUCACUCUGUUGCCAGGCUGGAGGCUGGAGUGCAGUGGCACAAUCUUGGCUCACUGCAACCUCCUCCUCCUGGGUUCAAGGGAUUCUCCUGCCUCAGCCUUCCAAGCAGCUAGGAGUAUAGGCAUGCACCACUAUGCCCAGCUAAUUUUUUGUAUUUUUAGUAGAGAAGGGGUUUCAUCACGUUGGCCAGGAUGGUCUCGAUCUCAUGACCUUGUGAUCCACCCACCUCAGCCUCUCAAAGCUCUGGGACUACAGGCAUGAGUAACCACACCCGGCCCCUUCUCAUCUCUUUGUCACUCUUCAGCUGCUCUGCUUCCUUCUCUCACUUCUACUCCUAUGGGAAUAAAGUUACUCAAGAAGAGAAAGUGGAUGUCUGAGGGCUGUAGGAAAUGGUAAAUGCUGUUUCUUUCAUCCUGGUUGCUAACUACAGACAUCUUUAGACACCUGAAGCACCUGCAGGAUUAUUCAAGAUCUGAGCCUGCCCCCUCCCACAUCUGUUCAACAGGAGCUCAACCUUAGGCUCUUCAGUCCUUAGUUCCUUCAGCCUCACUAUUAAACCCACAUCUUAACCUCAGAAAUGAGCUCAAUUGUUGUGUACUGGUAAAUGUUUAAUACUUGGCUCUGGGGUGGGAUGGAAUAUUGAGGGUCCUGAUGCUUAGUGCUUCUAGUUUCUGUGGUGUAAAUAUUCCCACCAUGGCUGCUUUCAAACUAGCAAUCUGACUUCACUGAAUGUGGAGCUGGGAGGAGAUGCUUACCGUGGAGCCUCACAAACCAGUCAAGCAUACUAAUAAGGAGGACCUUACAUAGCCAUGUUCCAUAUGUAGUACUCUGUUAACUCCUUAACAGACUUUUUUUGGGGGACAGCCAUUGAGAUAAUUAAAAGAAGCAGCAUAUAAUAAUUGCCACAACACUAACUUUUAGUUUGAUUAAAUAAAAUUUAACUGCAAGUACUGUCAAAGAAAUUUCAGGCCUUUCAACUGUUACCCUCUUUUUACUUGUGAGUCUGAGCUUGAUAUCCCUAUGAAUUGACAAUACUAUUUGGAGUACAGGUAUCAUAAAGUUUCAGUUAAUAUUUAGUUAAAAAGUAGGAAUAUCAUCCAGUCACCUUACUUUUUUUAUUUGAAUUCUACAUCAUUUCUGGUGGAUUUGUAUUAUUUUUAAGUAGCUUCACAUUAUGUUUUAUGAUACAUUUCUUUCUGCAACAGUUUUGCAUACAGAUGGAAAUGUUGGAAAUCUAGUUUAAGGUUGAUGUUUUUUUCCCAUUUUGUUAUGUGAUUGAUCUGGUCAGUGAACAAGAAAUUCUUCAAGGCCAUCCAUCACUCUAGGCAGCAGCUGAGCUAAACCUUCUAACUCACUGCUUGCAGUCAGUCAUGCAAGAUUUGGGUUAUAAAUAUUGAAUGUGCAAACAACUGUUUAAAUUAGCUGUCCUAUCUGUUUUACUCAAUUUCAGUAGCAAAGCAAGCUGAUACAUUGUUUAGUGGCAAGAAGUAGAAGACGGUUAAUUCAGUAUUAUCCUUGCAUACGUCAUUGAAUUCAUCCUGUUGGCAAAUAUUUAAAAUAGUUAGAUCAAAUUAAUUCUUUUUCCCUUAAGUUAAAUGAGAACUAAAGCAACUGAGCAUGUAAUUUAUGUAGUUUUUUUGGUUUUAUAUUCAAAUAGUAGAAAGACUGUUAGUAAUUGUAAAUGUAGCCAUCUGUCAAAAAUAUAGUAGCCAAUUGUUAAAUGCUUAGUUCUGUGAAUUUUGUUACCUCUUUGCAAUAACAAAAAUAGCUUAAUAUUUGGAAAAUAUUUGGGCAGGAAGGAAAAAUAGCAGCUGGCUUAUCCUACCAUUCCUGGGAAGCAUCUAGAAUAUUGAGUAUGUGCAGGUGUUAGUACUUCUGCUACUUGGAGUUGUAACAAGUCUGCAUACUUUCACUGGUGUUGGUAUAUGUAAUAGAUAAAAUGCAGACCAUUUGUGCUAACUCCUAAAAGCCUGUCUGUGUGUAAUGAAUUUAGGUAAACUCCCAUAAUUGCUAUCUGUGUCUAACAUUUAUUCUUAAAAUAAUAUGAUGCUGAGAACAUCCUUUCAAGUAGCAGACAUGUAUCUAAGCCUACAUUAAUAAAAUAAGUGAACUGCUUACCAAAGAGAAGAGUGUUCAGUAGCAUGUGUCUCUUAGUAGUUGGAUCACAACCUAACAUAAAAGUUGGACAGGAUUAUAAGUUACUUCCUGUGACAAACACUCCUCAAUGCUCACCAGUAUCCAUUUUUCUUUUCUUUCUUGAACAGAAUUUUGGUCAGGAUAGCAAUGAGCCUAGCUACAUAGACUCACCUUCCUAGACUCCCUUGCAGCUAGAGAUGAUCACAUAAUCUAGCUCUGAUUGAUUAAAUGCAAGUGGAAUUCUAUGGCUGGAAAUCCUAAGAGAGCAUUUUAAAAGGGACAGGUUCAGCUAAUUUGCUCCUUUAGCCCUUUGUCUUUUUGUGUGUUGCUCUCUCUUCUGAUACACUUCUUUUUAUGAUUUAAUAUCUAAGUCUUCAUGAAACUGUGCAUUCUGUCUUUUAAAAUGCUGUCUACUUUAGAAUUAUACAAUUAAACUUUUACUUAUGUCUUUAUGUGGAAAUAAAUUGAACCAGCCUUGCCAUAUUAAUAAACUAUAUUACAUAAAAUUUAAUAACAGUAUUGAUGAAUAAUUUUAGUGAUAACAGUCACAACUGCAAGUAAAAAAAUAAUUUUCUUAAUCUCAUCUCUCAAGUCUUAUUUCUCUUCCUUUUUCCUUGAUUAAUUGCUACGUUUUCUUACCCUUCGAGUGCUUGUAGUCCAAUGGAGGAGGCCAAUUUAGAAACAGUUAUGCAGAGUUAUAAGUUCCACAAAUGUGUGUCUAAAAUGCAAAUCUGAUUUUAUUAUUUUCCUACUUAAAAGCCUUCUAUGAGCUUUAAUGUGGUAUUGAAGGUCUUUUCAUUCUGGCUCCAGUAGUCUUGUCCAUCACAUCUCCUGCCUCCGUUCUUUCUCUCAGCAUAUUUCCUCAGCCUUAUGCUACCUAAAACCACUGGACUGUUGGUAGGAUCCCGAAACUAUCACAUACUGUCAUUCUUUCAUAUCCUUGUGUAUCCUUUUACUUCUGUACCCUUUUUUUUCAUCUCCAUCUGUGAAAUCCUACUCAUUCUUCAAAAACUGAGUUAUCUUUAAGGCAUUCUGUGACUCUUCCAAGUUAAAUUAAUAACUACUUCAUCUUCUGUGCUUCUCAUAACAUUCUUUUUAUACUUCUAUGAUAGGAUUUAUUUGGUCAAUUUAUGGUUACAGAUCUGUCUUUCCUAGUAGACUGUGAGUUCUAUGAAGAGAUAAACUAUGCUUUAGUUUGAAGCUCCAGUAUCUUAGUGAGUGUCUAGAAAGGAGUAAAUGCUCAAGAUUUUUGAUAUGUUUUUAUAACAAAUAAAUAACUUAAAACUCUCUACACCUUUCAUUGAGUACUAGGAUUACUUGUAAUUAAUUAAUUUAUUAAUUAAUUAUUUACCUGUUCACUAAAUGUAUCUCUGUGAAAGAAAUGCUGCUGGUGAUAAAAUAAUCUUCUAUUACCUAACAAAUAAUUGUCUAUCUGGGUCAUCUCUUCAUUUGUUUUUACUCUGACCCAUGAUUAUGGUUUUCUUGCUUCUUUGUAUGUCUUUCAUUUUUGGAUUAUAUACCAUACACUGUGUAAAUGAAAAGCAAAAUCUGAAAUAAAUAACACUUACCUCUAGGAAAGAGCAUACCCCUUUCUCUUUUAGGCUAAUGGAGGUGGAGGCUGAGUCAGUCUGUGAGUAGGCUGAGUCUGGGUUUUUUCUUUUUUUAAUUUGGAGCUUCAUUUGAUUUAGUUUUCUUACUAUGUCCAAGUCUUUUGAGGGUAAAGUCAGAUAAUAGGGCUUGAAUCUGACUACAAGCAAGAUUUAUCUUAUUUAGUAGGGCUUGAAUCUGACUACAGGCAAGAUUUAUCAUAUUUACAGAUAUGUGGCCAGCUUUCUAAACUGUGGGGAUCUAGCUACAACAUCUAUCACCCCAUUAAUCUCCAGGGUUGAUUUGGCUGAUGUGACUGGCUAAGUGGGUGACCCCUUCCUCCCUGACCACUCCAUGUGUGUUCCUCUGCAGCUGUGAGCUUGGUGAUGACCUUUAAUAGAGGAGGACUGUUCUUCAGUCAUGAGUAUAUAAGUAGCUGCGCUCCCCUUUGAACAAGCUCUCAAACUGGGGAUCUUCCUCCGCUCUGUAGCCUGGAUACCAGCUCAUUGGACCAUUAGGGAGUUCUCUUUGGUUCUUUGUCUGCCCCUAGCUUCCUGUACCUUGGGAAAUCUUUUCUCCUCCGGUUGACUGACCCACGUCUACCUACCAGUGAAGGUUGCCCUGUACUCUGAAGGCCUACAAUUCCUUGGAGAAGGCUCCUUCACCUUUCCUUACCACUCCCAACUUCUGGUAGCUGAAAUCUCAGAGUGCCUUGGGUGAAUUUCCACUCUCCUUUUCCACUCUCCACAUUCCGAAUACCUAAAGACCCAAAGGAAAAAGUUGGCAAGCAGGUGCAGAAUUGCUUUGUAGUCAGGGCUUCUUGGAAUUCUAAUCCAUCAUGUCAGCCUGCAAGCAGCUGUUAAAAGGCUGGUUUUUCCUUACCCCCAUCCAUGGCUGAUUCCUUGUCCUUCUCUUGCCCUGCUAGAAAUAAGAACAGCCAUGGGUCUUUCCUGUGAAGGGCUUAAUCAUUUGUGAAAUUUAAUUCAUUUAGUUCUUUUUGUAUCUCACUCUCUGGUAGAUUUAUUUUGUUCUCAAAUGUUCAUGACGAUUUUAUUUAAGCUUCCAGCCCAAAUGUCCAUCAGCAGGUAAACAGAUAAGCAAAAUGCUGUAUACCCAUAUAAUGGAAUACUGCUCAGCAGUAACACAACAAACCACUGAUACAUGAAACCACAUGGUUGCAUUUUAAAACAUCGUGCUGAGUUAAAUAAGGCAGAUAUGAAGAUAUAUGUACUAUAUGAUUAUAUUUGUAUGAAAUUAUAGAAAAUGAAAGCGACUGCAGUUAGAUUAAUAUUUGCUUGGUGCCAGGAAGAAAAACUACAUUAAUUUGAAGAUGUACAAGGACAAUUUUGGGGUUCAUGGAAAUGUUCUACAAAUUAAUUGUAAUGGUAAUUAAAUAUAUGUAUACAGUUGUCAAAAUUCACCAAAAUGUACAUUUAACAUGGGUGCAUUUCAUUGUAUCUACAUUAAAUCCUAUUUUAUUUCUGUGGUUUUUGAGGAAUAGGUGAGUUUUGGUUACAUAGGUAAGUUCUUUAAUGGUGGCUUCUGAGAUUUUGGUGCACCCAUCACCCAAGCAGUGUAACUGUACCCAACAUGUAGUCUUCUAUUCCUCACCCCUUGUCUCCCACUUAUAAGUGAAAACAUAUGAUAUUUUUUUACUCUUAUCUAGUUGCUCUGGCUAGGGCUUCCAGUAGUAUGUUUAAUUGAAGUGGUGAAAGUGGACAUUCUUCUCUUGUUCCAGUUCUCAGGGGGAAUGCUUUCAACUUUUUCCCAUUCGGUAUGAUGUUGGCUGUGGGUUUGUCAUAGAUAGCUUUUAGUACCUUGAGGUACGUCCCUUCUCUGCAAGUUUUGCUGAGGGUUUUAUCAUAAAGGAAUGUUGGAUUUUAUCAAGUGCUUUUUCUGUAUCUCUUGAGAUUAUGGUAUGAUUUUUGUUUUUACUUCUGUUUAUGUGAUAUAUCACAUUUAGUGACUUGCAUGUUAAACCAUCCCUGCAGCCCUAGGAUGAAACCCACUUCAUCAUUAAAUCAUGAUGUAUUAUCUUUUUUAUAUGUUCUUGGAUUCGGUUAGCUAGCAUUUUGUCGAAGAUUUUUGUAUCUGUGUUCAUCAGGGACAUUGGUCUAUAGUUUUCUUUUUUAUGUCCUUUCCUAGUUUUGGUAUUACGGUGAUAAUCGCUUCAUAGAAUGAUUUAGGGAAGAUUCCCUUUUUCCUCUGUCUUUUGGAAUAGUUUCAGUAGGAUUGGUACCAAUUCUUCUUUGAAUGUCUGAUAGAAUUCAGCUGUGAAUCCAUCUGGUCCUGGAAUAUUUUUUGUUGGCAAUUAUUUCAUGACUGUUUCAAUUUCACUACUUGUUAUUGAUCUGUUUAUAGUUCCUGCUUCUUCCUGAUUUAAUCUAGUAGGGUUAUAUAUUUCCAGAAAAUUUUUCAUAUCCUCUAGAUUUUCUAGUUUAUGCACAUAAAGGUGUUCAUAGUAGCCUUGAAUCAUCUUUUGUAUUUCUGUGUUAUCAGUUGUAAUAUUUCCCAUUUUGUUUCUAAUUAAGCUUAUUUAGGUUUCCUCUCUUCUUUUCUUGGCUGAUCUCGCUAAAGGUCUGUCAGUUUUGUUUAUCUUUUCAAAGAAACUUAUCUUUCAUAUUUUUUUCCAUUUCAUUUAAUUCAGCUCUGAUCUUUGUUAUUUCUUUUCUUCUGCUGAGUUUGGGUUUGAUUUGUUCUUGUUUCUCUAGUUCCUUGAGGUGUGACAUAUAUUGUCUGUUGUGCUCUUUCACACUUUUUUUUUUUUGAGAUGGACUGUCUUGCCUUGUUGCCGAGGCUUGAGUACAGUGGUGUGAUUUCGGCUCACUGCACCCUCUGUUUCCUGGGUUCAAGCAAUUCUUCUGCCUCAGCCUCCCAAGUAGCUGGGAUUACAGGUGUGCAGGCCCAACAAAUUUUUGUAUUUUUAGUAGAGAUGGGUUUCGCCAUGUUGGCCAGGCUGGUUUUGAACUCCUGACCUCAAGUGAUUCUCCCACCUCAGCCUUCAAAAGUGCUGGAAUUACAGGCAUGAGCCACCAUGCCUGGCCUCUUUUAGACUUUUUGAUGCAGGCAUUUAAUGUGAACUUUUCUCUAAAGACCACUUUUGCUGUAUCCCAGAGGUUUUGGGAAGAUGUGUCACUAUUGUCUAGCUGAAAGAAUUUUUAUUUCCAUCUUGAUUUUAUUGUUGACCCAAAGAUCAUUCUAUAGCAGAUUAUUUAAUUUCCAUGUAUUUGUAUUUUUUAAUUUUAUUUUAUUUUUUGAGGUGGAGUCUCACUCUGUCACGCAGGCUGCAGUGCAGUGGCGCGGUUUUGGCUCAAUGCAACCUCUACCUCCCAGGUUCAAGUGAUUCUCCUGACAGCCUCCCAAGUAGCUGGGAUUACAGACAUGUACAACCACCCCAGGCUAAUUUUUGUAUUUUUGGUAAAGAUGGGGUUUUGCCCUGUUGGCCAGCCUGAUCUUGAACUCCUGACCUCAUGAUCUGCCCACCUUGGCCUUUCAAAGUACUGGGAUUACAGGUAUAAGCCACCACACCUGGCCGUAUUUGUAUCAUUUUGAGGGUUCCUUUCAGAGUUUAAUUUCUAGUUUUAUUCCACUGUGGUCUGAGAGAUUACUUAAAAUGAUUUCAGUUUUCUUAAAUUUAUUGAGACUUGUUUUGUGGCCUAUUAUAUGGUCUGUCUUGGAGAUGUGCUGAGGAGUCGAAUGCAUAUCCUGCAUUUGUGGAGUAGAAUGUUCUGUAAAUAUCUGUUAAGUUCAUUUGUUCUAGAGUAUAGUUUAAGUUCAUUGUUUCUUCGUUGACUUUUUGUCUUGAUGAACUGUCUAGUGUUGUCAGUGGAGUAUUAAAAUCCCCAACUAUUACUGUGUUGUCAUCUAUCAUUUCUUAGGCCUAGUAGUAACUGUUGUAUGAAUCUGGGAGCUCCAGUAUUAGGUGCAUAUAUAUUUAGGACUGUGAUAUUUUCCUGUAGGACUAAUAAUUUUAUCAUUUUGUAAUGUCUUUUAUUGUCUUUUUUUGCUGUUGUUGCUUUAGAGUCUGUUUUGUCUGACAGAAGAAUAGCUACUCCUGCUUGCUUUUAGUUUCCAUUUGCAUGGAAUAUUUCUUUCUACCCCUUUACGCAAAGUAUAUAUGAGUCCUUAUGUGUUAGGUGAGUCUCUUGAAGACAGCAGAUUCUUGGUUGGUGGAUUCAUUCUGCCAUUCUUUAUCUUUUAAAUGGAGCAUUUAGGCAAGAUACAUUCAAUGUUAGUAUUCAGAUGUGGGAUACUGUUCUAUUCAUCAUGUUAGUUGUUACCUAAAUACCUUGUUUUUUCAUUGUUAUUGUUUUUUAGGCCCUGUGAGAUUUAUGCUUUAAGGGGGUUCUGUUUUGGUGUAUUUCAGGGUUUUGUUUCAAGAUUUAGAAUUUCUUUCAGCAUUUCUUGUAGUGCUGGGUUGGUGGCAGUGAAUUCUCUCAGCAUUUGUUUGUCUGAAAAAGGCUUAAUCUCCCCUUCAUUUAUGAAGCUUAGUUUCACUGGAUACAAAAUUCUUGGCUAUUAUUUUGUUUAAGGAGUCUAAAGAUAGGACCCUAAUCCCUUCUGGCUUGUAAAGUUUCUGCCAGAAACUUUAUAGGGUUUCCUUUAUAGGUUACCUGAUGCUUUUUUCUCACACCUCUUAAGAUUCUUUGUCUUGACUUUAGAUAUCCUGAUGACUGUGUGCCUAGACUGUGACCUUUGUGCAAUAAAUUUCUCUGGAGUUGUUUGAGCUUCUUGUAUUUGGAAGUCCAGGUCUCUAGCAAUGCCAGGGAAGCCUUUCUCAAUUAUUCCCUCAAAAAUAAGUUUUCCAAACUUGUAUGUUUCUCUUCUUCCUCAGGAACACCAAUUGUUCUUCUGUUUGGCUGUUUAACAUAAUCCCAGCUGGAUGCGGUGGUUCACACCUGUAAUGCCAGCACUUUGGGAGGCUGAGGUGGGCAGAUCACGAGGUCCGGAGUUCGAGACCAGCCUGAACAAUGUGGUGGAACUCCGUCUCCACUAAAAAUACAAAAAAAAUUAUCCUGGCAUGGUGCAUGCCUGUAAUCCCAGCUACUCAGGAGGCUGAGGCAGGAGAAUUGCUUGAACUCAGGGGGCAGAGGUUGCAGUGAGCUGAGAUUGUGCCAGCCUGGGUGAUAGAGUGAGACUGCAUCUCAAAAACAAAAACAAAAAACAUAUUUCCGAUUUGUUCUGCUUGUUCUAGUCUAUUGUUGAGACUUCCACUGCAUUUUGUAUUUCCCUAAAUGCCUAAAUGUAUCUUUUCUUUCCAGAAGUUGUGAUUCUUUUUUCUUUGUAUUUAUUUCUCUGGGAAAUUUUUCAUUGGUAUCCUGUAUUUUUUUUAAAUUUCUGUAAGUUGGUUUUUACCUUUCUCUGGUAUCUCCGUAAGUAGCUUAAUAACCAACCUCUGAAUUCUUUAUCUGACAAUUCAGAGAUUUCUUCUUCGAUCCAUUGCUGAGGAGCUAGUAUCAUCUUUUGAGGGUGUUAUAGAACCCUGUUUUGUCAUAUUACCAGAAUUAUUUUUCUGGUUCCUUCUUAUUUGGGUAGAGUAUUUCUUAAAAUUGUUCUUGAAUUUAUUUUUGAUUGGACUGUGGUUUUUUAAAUUUAAAUUUCUUUUUUCCUCUCAUAAGGACCCAACCUUAAUGUUUAUUUUAGCCUAAUUUAAUUCUUGGGGUUUGUAGGAGUGAAGACUCUGUAUGAAAUCCUUAGUGAUAGAGAGUCUUUAUGUAUUGGCUUUCCCCAGUGUUGGUGAGUGGUAGUUAUAUUCUUGGUAUAUGUGUGGGUUCACUGUCUCCUGUGGAGUUGUAAUGGCAGGGAUCUCUUGAAACUUAUCUUGUUCUCUCAUGAUGUACACUUUAUUUAUUUAUUUGCUCUUUCUCAGUUUUUUUUUUUUUUAACUGAGUUGAUGAUUUGGUCUUCAAGUCCCAAGGGAGGUAUUCCUGGUUAGGCAGCAGUUGUGGCGAAGGCAGGUGAGUAGAUGUAAUACUCAAUGGUGGGCUAAGGUCCCAGCUUUGAGGAGCUUCGCUAGGGAAGUUCUCAGUUAGAUGUGCUGAGGUUUUAUCAGGGUGAAGAGUGGGAGCUACCAGAGUUCCCAUACCAGGUCAGCAGGAAAGCUGUUAACCUUACAGCCUCACUCCUGUCCUGAUAUUUUAGCUAUUCAUAUCAGAUAGGCAUCUCUUUUCAUCUGUAGGGAUGUUGAUGUUCCAAGUAGGAAGGAAUUAUGACUCUGCCUCUCAUGUCAGCCUGAAUCUGGGGUGUGCUUCUUCUGUGCGGCUGCACUCACCCUGGAUUUUUCCAGAAGGCUGUUUAUAAGUGCCUCCAGUGUUUCUGUGGGGGAAGCCCCAGCUGUGUCUUCAUUGGAGUGCUGGGGAAACAAGGACCCUUUCUCUAAUGCCUUUCAUGAUCACAGAGGCUGCCGUCUGUUGGGAUAUAGGUGCAGACUGUUCCUAUUGCACCCAGCACUGCAGUUGUGUCUCUGCUGUGAGAAACCACCCACCAGUGGAAAGAUCUGAAACCCAAGCCCUGCUGUUCAGAUGUUUUUGUCCCACAGGGUUUUUCCUUGAUAGGAUGCUCUCCCCCUUCCCCUAGGAUUGGGGCUUCUCAAAAGCUGGACUUCAGUGAUUGUUAUUGCCCUUCUUUGUCUAGCCACCCAGCAGGACUACCAGGCUCCAGACUCAUGCUGGGGAAUAUCUGCAAAGAAUCCUGUGAUAUGAUCUGUUUUCAGGUCUUCCAGCUGCAGAUACCAGCACCUGCUCUGGUGGAGGUGGCAGGACAGGUGCCACCUGUAGACUCUGUGAGAGUCCUUGUUUGUAGAUAUAUUUAGUCUGUUGGCUUUCUCAAAUGCUGGUAUGCUAGCAGUGAAGUUGGCACGUAGACAAACUCAGGACCUCUUGUUAGCCAUAGCUGUUGUUUUCUCCUUGCUGGGAGUCAGGUUAUUCUGUCAUGAGUGGCUGUAAUGGCUUGAGUUGGUUGGCCUCCAGCCAGGAGGUGGUACUUUCAAGAGAUCGCCAGCUGCAGUAGUAGAAGGGAGAUCUAAGCUUGCCCUAAGUUGGCUGGGGGAAAUAUUCUGGUUUCUCAGGUGAUGGGCGGAACCAUAAAGGUCCCAGGAGGUUAUGUCUUUUGUGAUUGGCUACCAGGGUGGAGUAGUACCUUCAGGUAGAGGAGUACCUUCAGAUGGGAGCAGGAUUAGGUGGGUGUGAGCUCAAUCUCUCCUUGGGUGGGGCUUGCCACAGCCACUGUUGGGGAGUGGGGGGUGGUUCUCAGGCCAAUGGGGUUUUGUUCCAGAAGGGAGUAUUGCUACCUCUCCUGUGCAUUAUAGUUCACAAGGAAAGUGGGGGACAUCUGGUAGCGAAAGGCCUCACCCAGCUCCAGGCAUUUGGCAAGGCCAGUCUCGCUCCCGUAGUGCCCCACUAACAGCAGUGAGCUUUGAUCCAGGCAGCGUGCUCACAAAACUCAGACUUAACCCAGGCUAUAAGCUUCUGCACUGAGAAGGCAAGCAGCUUCAGGCCCUACUCCUCCCUGUCUGCUGCCCACAAUGUCAGCAGUUCCUGUGCUCGCAUCUGUGGCAGUUCCCAUUUGCUCCCUGUCACCCGGAAUGUGAUCAAAAAAGUUUGUGCCCAGUUGAAAUUAUUACAAAAUUUAGUUGAAAGCUUCUUUCACCUUGUGACCCCUCCGUAACUGUGCCAGCUGCCUACCCCAGGGGCCUCUGUGAGAUAUUGUCAGGGAUGGCUUCCCUGGGAUCAAGUUAGAGAAUGGGAGUGGCUGCAAGGCUCUUCUUGCCACUGCUUCUACUUUUAUAUUUCGUUCAGCUCCCCAAAUCUGUUCUAGCUUUAGGUAAGGUUAAGUCCUUCUGUGAUCUGGAUUUUCAGAUUCCCCAGUGGGGAUGUGUAUUUAGAGGCAGGAUUCCCUGCCUCACAUUUUGGGAACUCACAUUUUUUGUGCCUGUCUCACAAAAUUUGCAGCCACAUUUGCUGCUUCUUUCAAAGGAUCUGUGAAUUAUUUCAGUUUUCCUGGUAGGUUCCUGCAGUGGUUCUUGGAACAAAAGUUCAUGGUAUGAGUCUCCACACACUGUUCAGUCUGUUCAAGUGGGAGGUGCACAUUAGCCCUGCUUCCUGGCCACCAUCUUCCUCCCGUCUCCUUCUGAUGGAUUUUUAAAGUUAUGAUUUUAUAGUUUUCUUGGCUUAUUUUGGUUGCUGGGAUGACACUAGCAGUCAUUUGCCGCUGUCUGUAUUCUAACCUAUUCUCUCCUCCUCCCUCCCUCCCUCCCUCCCUCCCUUCCUUCCUUCCUUCUUUCCAUCUAUAGAUGUGUGUAUCUAUACAUGUACACAGUAUAUUACAUGUUUAUAAAAACAUAAAUGUAGGGAUUUUUAAAAAUACUUUUCAUUGAGGAACAGCUCUAUCUUGUGAAUUACUUCCCUUCCUCUAAAUGCCCAAAUUACCAUAAGGUGUUAGUUUUAGCUUUCCUAAAUAAAUGAGAGAUUCGAGUCACUGGAAACCACAUUUGUUUUCAUCUAAUUCUGUGUAUCUAGGAUAUUUUGUAAAUGAGGAUUUACUACUUCAUAUUAUCUUUUCAGCCUCAUCAAAUCUGGAAAUGAAAGUAAUCAGUACUUAAAUUUCAUUAGUUCACAAAUAAUGUAGUCUCUAUUGACCACCAAAGAAAAUUAAGAAACAGAUGAUGAAGACAUUUAAUUACUUUAAUAUAUUGCAACUUUUAUGAUGAGCUAAUUAUAGUUCUACAACAGUUAUUGUCUAUCUAGAAAUAUAGUGGUGAGAUAUUAAGCAAGACGUUAUCAGUAUUCACAUCAUUUUAGUUUAUCUAAAGUGAUAUAAAAUGAAUGUAAGCAGAAAGCUUAAUUCAUAGGAAAAGUAUAUGAGAAAAAUUCACACAUGGUAUACUUUAAAUAUAUUAUAAUCUCUCAGAGUGGCAUUUACUACAGAACAAAGUAUUGUGUAAGGUGACUUUGUCUGAAACUUGUCUGUAUCAGCUAGCUUUUUCUGCAUAACAGGCUACUCCAAGAGUCAGUGGCUUAAAAGUAUUAUAUAUUUUUUCUCAUCUAUCUUGGGCCAGGCAAAUAGGGUUGGACCAUGCAUGUGGCUGGACUUGCUUCCUCACUGAGAUUUGGGGUAAGGCUGCUCCACAUGUUUUCAUUCUAGGGCUGAGACUGAGGACGGAAUCCACCAAGGCCUCUCCCAUGGCGUUGGUAGAGACACAACUCAAUGAGCAAAAACACAUAAGGUCUCUUGAAAUCUGGGCUUAGAACUAGCUUACCAUCCCUUUUGCCUCAUUCUAUUGGUCAAAGCAAAUUCAUGGCCAUGCUCCAAAUUAACAAAGAGGUUAUAUAGGUACUUAAGAACCUCAUUGUUUUAAGGCACUUUCUCUGUAGUUGGUAUUCACUAAUGUGGGGAUGCUCAAAUCAUAAGUUUACAUGGGACUAGGCAGAUACUGGAAAUGAACAAAACAGAGCUGUGGGGAUUAUGCAGUGGAGAAUUUUUACCCCGGUUAAAGAGGUGGGGGCCUCUAGCUACAGCUGACUGUUACCAAGUAGAAGAGCAGAUCAUGUUUACCAAAUCUUCAAAUUUCUCAAGAAAACCAAGAAAUUUAAAAUUUUUAAUGGCAUCUUAUUUUUAGAGGUUGGUUAUUUUUUUUAAAAAGAUAAUAACUUGUUGGCCAAAUCCAAGAGGCAGAUUUGCACCUCUAGUUGGUAAUCUGUGCAAAGCCAAAGAUUGCUUGGAGACUUCUGGAACAUUUUCCAUUAUACUGGCCACAUCUAUAGAGGCUAGAGGGCAUUACAAAUCUUACCAUAAUGAUUAAUGUUAAUAAUAAUUCCUUAAAUUAGUAUGCCACUUUAUAAAACACUCAUUCUCUCAUUUGAUUGAAGUUGAAAUAUAUGUCUCUUGCUGUCUCCAGGAAGCAGAAAAUGCCUUCCCCCUGUUCCUCAGAUGCUUGUUGGGUGCUUCAGACUUCUGCUUGCUUACCAGAUAGUUAUUGAGCACCUGCUGUACAUCAGGAACUGAUCCAGGUUAUUAACAUAUGUAUAUCGGUGAACAAAACAGAUGAAGAUCCCUCCCCUCAUGGAGUUUAUGUUCUUUCUCUUUAUAGCUUGACCCCCUUGUCCUAAAACUGGAUCACCACCUCAUUCAUAGGUUUGUCCCAUUUGAAAGUAUUGACAGUAGAAGCCUUGUCCUGUAACUAUAUCAAGACAUUUAUGAGGUUAGAACAGCCAAGGGUACCAAAAGUAGGUAUGUUUCACAAAGAGCAGAGUGUCAGUUAUUCCAAUGUGUCUCUUAAGAGAGCUGCUUCUGCACUUAGUUUAAACGAAAGCAAGUUUGAAAAGAGCCCUUAGUAACUGGGGAAAAAGAAAGUGAAAUUAGGAAACCUUCAUCCUAUUGUAUGUGCUGUAUGUUGUUUUCAUUACAGGUUCCUUUACUUUCUUCUGGCAAGUUAGCUUCAUACUUCUCCUGGAAUGCUGUAAUGUGGUAAAGUCAGUAUUGACCAACUUUAACCAUUAUCAGGCAUAGUCUGUCACGUGGUCAAUUACAUCAGUUGCUCCAUUUUCAUAUCAUGUCUGGAAAACAGAUAACAGAUGUCUUUAGACUUUUGCCUUAGUAAAUUGAGAUUUCAUGUGUUUGUGUAUAGACUUAUAAAUACACUGUAUCUCUGAUAUUAACUUGGAUCUUUUAUGGGGAUCCCUAUGGAUUGUUUGGGCAUACAUCUGACUUUGGGUUUAGAAAGGUAAUGAAUAGUACUAUAAAUAUAAUCUAACUAUAAAAGCAGUCGGUAGCUUGCUAUUCUGAAGCACACCUAAAAGCAGCCUAUAACUUGCUAUUCUGAACCACAUUUGACUUGCCAGAUACUAAGUCUGUGUCUGAAUCUCUUAAAUAGAUUAGGCUGCAUAACACCCAUAGCCACCAAUAAAUUGUUUCUGGUUAAUAGACGUGCAGCAAAAGUUCAUUCCCCCCUUCACCCAUUCUAUCUGUUGUCUUGUUAAAGAGAGAGAGAGAGAGAGAGAGAGAGAGAGAGAGAGAGAAAGAGAGAGAGAGAGGAGAGGAGAGACUGUUUCAAAAGCCAAACUCAACUACCACCCCCUUUCCUCUGGCAGUAUGCCUUCUUAGUGAUCUAUACAGUCCUAUAGAGGCAGUCUAUCAGACUUGAUAUUGUUAUAGUUGUAUCAAAGAAUCUUCAAGGAUAAAGUAUAGAAAUUAAGUACAUAAAUUAUAAUUUACAAUAUGUGUUAUUUUACCAUUGAUUUAAAUCUCUUAGGUCUGUUUUCUUUUUUUCUCUUUUCCUUUUGGAAGGCUUCAGCUCUUUGAAUUUGCUCUCCUUAUUAUUAUUGUUUUAAUUCCAAUAAGCACCCUAGUUUUAGAAAUAUUUAAAUGUUUUUUAAGCUUCUUGGAAUUAAUAGGUGAAUUCUUAUUUUUCACCAUUUAAUUUAAAUCUAGUUUUCUAUAUUUUUUCUCCUAUCAAGUUUUCUUUUAAACUUUCUCCCUGGGUGAUGUCUUUUUAUAGUUGAAUUUCUAGUCAGUGACCUUAAUUUGAGUUCAAAACUGUGAUAUUUUUCAUGUAUUAUUCACCCAAAUAUCAACUUGGUGCCUCUUGAAGUUUCUGCUCCAGAAACUCUACAAAUGGGCCUUCCUGUUUGUGGAGAGAAACACACUCUACUCUGGUCCCUGAAACAAAACCUCCUGUAUUGUUCUUCACAUCCUAUAUGCCCUCCAAUUGCCACCCACUCUCUGCCUCCAUUUCUGGUAAUCCAAAUUUUCAACCCCUCAAAUCUUCCUCUGAUUCUUCAUGAGUGCCCACUGUCUCAUUAAUUGACAAGCCCUGAAACAUUUCCAGUUUCCCCUGACUUCGAGUUGGAGGGCUUCCAUCAGCAUUUCCAAAUGUCCUCCUCACAGUUCCCUGUCCACCUUGGUAAAGCUUCUAUUUCCAGAUCUUAUCAUCAGAGUAUUGUUUCCUUUAUUUAAAAAAAUAACGCAAGCAUUAGUGUCUUUACCAUGAUCACAUUCAGAUUCCCUGACUCCAGCUAAAUUCAGCUGCUGAAGAUUUUCACUGGAAUUUGAAGCUGAAACAUCUCUUCUUCACUGCCACACUUCUGCCAUAAGCUUUAUCUACACCCCACUCCUGGCCAUCUUAGGAAACUCACACAGAUGGAGAGUAUUCUAGUGUCACCCUAAGAAACAGAGAGAGACUCAUUAAAAGAAAAGAUGUUUAUUUGGGAGUGAAGCAUUGCAAUGAUAAUACACAUGUGUGUUUUCAGGGGGAUAAAGGGCGGCAAAGGUUUUUAAAAGAAGAAAUGAAGGAGAUUACCUAAUUGUUUUGAAAUAAUUCUCUCUGGAUUCAAGAUCAAGGGUGACACAGUUCAAGGUUGAACAAGCAGUUUCUGGGCAGAUGUUCUUGCAGAGGUUUUUUAUUCCAUAUGGUUAUGAUGGCUUUCAUGCAAGGUUGUGCUUUCUGUAAAGACUGUUUAAUUAUGAGGCAUACAAGUCUGAGCACCCUCUCUUUGUGGCCUUCCUCUGUUCCGUUUGUGGGGUUCCUCUUGUUUUUUUUUUGCAUUAGUGACUCCAUUUUGGUUCUGACAGUUUUCACAGCAACAAUAAGUAGCAUAUACUGCAAAAGGGCAAAGGAAGAAAAUUCAGAUGUAGCAUUUCUAUACUAAAUUUUCAGAGUUGAAACUGGAUUUUCUAGUGUUUCAAUUGCCAACUGCCAUCAGGUACAAUCCCUGAAGUCCUGUUAAUAUCUAUGAAGACUCUUUUUUUUUUUUUUUUUUCUUAUUUUUUUAUUGCAUUUUAGGUUUUGGGGUACAUGUGCAGAGCAUGCAAUACAGUUGCGUAGGUACACACAUGGCAGUGUGUUCUGUUUGCUUUCACCCCUUCACCCACAUUUGGCAUUUCUCCCCAGGCUAUCCCUCCCCACCUCCCCCUCCCACUGGCCCUCCCCUUUUCCCCCAAUAGACCCCAGUGUUUAGUACUCCCCUUUCUGUGUCCAUGUGUUCUCAUUUUUCAUCACCCGCCUAUGAGUGAGAAUAUGCGGUGUUUCAUUUUCUGUUCUUGUGUCAGUUUGCUGAGAAUGAUGUUCUCCAGAUUCAUCCAUGUCACUACAAACGACACGAACUCAUCAUUUCUGAUUGCUGCAUAAUAUUCCAUGGUGUAUAUGUGCCACAUUUUCCCAAUCCAGUCUAUCAUCAAUGGGCAUUUGGGUUGAUUCCAGGUCUUUGCUAUUGUAAACAGUGCUGCAAUGAACAUUCGUGUGCAUGUGUCCUUAUAGUAGAAUGAUUUAUAGUCCUUUGGGUAUAUACCCAGUAAUGGGAUUGCUGGGUCAAAUGGAAUUUCUAUUUCUAAGGCCUUGAAGACCCUUUUUGAGUCAGAUCUAGUAAUUCACUGUAACAGUCCAACGAGAAGGCCAAGAAUGCAUUUAACUGUGCAAGGUCUGUAUCUCCCAAGCCUGGAUACCAUCAUUAUUGUAUUAAUUGCCCCAGGCUUGAAUCUCUAGAUCUCUUUGUCUUUCCCUCACUCCUUUCAUUUAACAAGUAUGGGUGGAUAUGUGACUCUUAUAUUCAUAUAGUCACUGAAGGUCUCCUGUUACUAAAUGGGCCUCUGUUGACACUGUCACUGUCCCAACCCUAUGCUCGCUCCUUGUCUGAAACCUGGAGUGGCCUCCUUGCUGGUAUCUCUGGUCUGCGUUUUUCAAGGCCAUUGGCUGCCUGUUUGUCUUAUGGCUUCUUGCCUGGCCUCCCAGACUUCACUGGCUUCUCAUUUUCCACCACAUAAAACAUAUGUUUCGCUGACCUUGUUCAAGUCUUCCAUAAGCUGCGUAUUCACAUUAGUAUUUACUCUUACCAAACUUACAGAUCUGCAGAAGGUCUAUCACAUUCAAAUACCAGGACCCCUGAUCUGCUUUCUUCUCUUCCUCUAUAUCACUGGGUCUCCCUCUCAUGUCUGUCUGUCAAUAAACUUUCCCUAGGUGUCUCAGUCCUCAUCAGUGAAGAUGAUGGUAACAGAGGUUAAUGUACAGGAGUUUGGAGUUUAACUCACACUAGCUGUGUGAGUUUGGAAAAAGGACUUAACCUCUGUGUGCCUUAAUUUCUUCCAUGGAAAAUGAGGUUAGUAAUAAUACCAAAUAAUCCACAAGUCUCCAUAAUUUUUAAUGACUAGCAUUUAUUUCUUGCUCAUGGUAUAUGUGGGCAAUAGGUAGGCUGCAUCUUUGCUUUUUUUCAUUCUAGGGAACAGAGUGAAGGAGUAGCUCCUGUUUCUGGGACACGUUAUCGUCACGGAUUAACUCUUGACUGUUUUGAAACUCUUGUUUGCCACCUUUUUCAGAGGUCAUGGUUUUUUCUGUUUCUGCUCUAGCACAUGCCUUGUCUUGUGGCUUUGCUAAUAAUAAAUCAAUAAAUGGCUCACUUCUUCCUCUCAUCCAAAUGAAGCCAUAUAUGGCGCAACUGAAGGUGCAGAAAUACUUUCUUAAUCCAUUUGUGCUGCUUCAAUGAAAUAUCAUAAACUAAGUAACUUACAAACUACAGAAAUUUUUGUUGCAGUUGACAAGGAAACAUGGCGAAGGAAUUGCUUUUGCCAGUGAAGAUGAGUAUGAGUUGGCAUAUGUCACUUUAGUAGAAAGCUUUAGAAAUGUCCCUGUUCCCAUCUUAGUGCUCUGCAGAUUAUGGAAGAAUGUACCAGCCUAAGUCCCAGAGUUACCAGAAUAAGUAGGACCUCCUGCUGCCCCGUGGAACAUAUAGUGCAAAGAAGGCAUAAUCUUUUACAUGUUAAGUUUCUGAGAUUUGUGAGUUAUUUACUACUUUGGCAUAACCCAUCUUGACGGAUAUAGGAUCUAAAAGUAUAACUUAGUCACAGAUUAAGGUGCUAACUUUUCUAGAUUGCUAAGGCCCUUUAUUAUUCUGGCUGUUUAAUUUCAUUGACGGCUUUUUUUCUGCAUCUCGCCAGUUGAUCAUAUUUUUUCCAUUUUAAUCUGUUAAUGUCAUGGAUAACAUUACAGAUAUUCUCAUAUUUAAACUUCCUUCCAUUAUUGACAGUAGCCUCUGUUAUUCAUCAAGUAUGGUAUAUUUUUUCUUUAUUAUUGGAAUUAUUAUAUUUCCAAUUAUUAUUUUUACACUUUAAGUUCUGGGGUACAUGUACGGAAUGUGCAAGUUUGUUACGUAGUUAGCCACGUGCCAUGGUGGUUUGCUGCAUCCAUCACCCUGUCAUCUACAUCAGGUAUUUUUCCUAAUGCUAUGCCUCCCUUAGUCCCCUACCCCACUGUAGGCCCCAGUGUGUAAUGCUCCCCUCCCUGUGUCGAUGUGUUCUCAUUGUUCAACUCUCACUUCUGAGUGAGAGCAUGCGAUGUUUGGUUUUCUGUUCUUGUGUUAGUUUUCUGAGAAUUAUGGUUUCUAGCUCCAUCCAUGGCCCCAUAAAGGACACGGACUCAUUCUUUUUUAUGGCAUGGUAUUCCAUGCUAUAUACCUACCACAUUUUUAUCCAGUCUAUCAUUGAUGGGUGUUUGGGUUGGUUCCAAGUCUUUGCUAUUGUGAACAGUGCCGCAGUAAACAUACGUGUGCAUGUGUCUUUAUAGUAGAAUGAUUUAUAAUUCUUUGGGUAUAUACCCAAUAAUGGAAUUGCUGGGUCAAAUGGUAUUUCUAUUUCUAGGUCCUUGAGGAAUCGCCACACUGUCUUCCACAAUGGUUGCACUAAUUUACAUUCCCACCAACAGUGUGAAAGCAUUCCUAUUUCUCCACAUCCUCUCCAGCAUCUGUUGUCUCCCGAUUUUUUAAUGAUCACCAUUCUAACUGGUGUGAGAUGGUAUCACAUUGUGGUUUUGAUAUGCAUUUCUCUAAUGACCAGUGAUGAUAAGCUUUUUUUAAUAUGUUUUUUGUUGGCUGCAUAAAUGUCUCCUUUUAAGAAGUGUCUCUUCAUAUCCUUUGCCCACUUUUUGAUGGAGUUGUUUGUUUUUUUUCUUGUAAAUUUAUAUAAGUUCCUUGUAGAUUCUGAAUAUUAGCCCUUUGUCGGAUGGAUAGAUUGUAAAAACUUUCUCCUAUUCUGGAGGUUGCCUGUUCAUUCUGAUGAGAGUUUUUUGCUGUGCUUUUUUAGUUUAAUCAGAUCCCAUUUGUCAAUUUUGGCUUUUGUUGCUGUUGUUUUGGUGUUUUAGUAAUGAAGUCCUUGCCCAGGCCUAUGUCCUGAAUGGUAUUGCCUAGGUUUUCUUCUAGGGUUUUUAUGGUUUUAGGUCUUACAUUUAAAUCUUUGAUCCAUCUUGAGUUAAUUUUUGUAUAAGGUGUAAGUAAAGGAUCCAGUUUCAGCUUUCUGCAUAUGACUAGCCAGUUUUCCCAGCACCAUUUAUUAAAUAGGGAGUCCUUUCCCUGUUGCUUGUUUUUGUCAGCUUUGGCAAAGAUGUGUGGUAUUAUUUUCUGAGGCCUCUGUUCUGUUCCAUUGGUCUAUGUCUCUAUUUUGGUACUGGUACCAUGCUAUUUUGAUUACUGUCACCUUGUAGUGUAAUUUGAAGUCAGGUAGUGUGAUGCCUGCGGCUUUGUUCUUUUUGCUUAGGAUAGUCUUGGCUAUCUGGGCUCUUUUAUGGUUCCACAUGAAAUUUAAGAUGGUUUUUCCAAUUCUGUGAAGAAAGUUAGUGGUAACUUGAUAGGAAUAGCACUGAAUCUAUAAAUUACUUUGGGCAGUAUGGCCAUUUUUACAGUAUUGAUUGUUCCUAGCCAUGAGCAUGGAAUGUUUUUCCAUUUGUUUGUGUCCUCUUUUAUUUCCUUGAGUAGUGUUUUGUAGUUCUCCUUGAGGAGGCCCUUCACAUCCCUUGUUAGUUGUAUUCCUAGGUAUUUUAUUCUCUUUUUAGUAAUUGUGAAUGGGCGUUCACUCAUGAUUUGGCUGUUAUUGUUGUAUAGGAAUAUGGUAUUUUUAUACAUUGUCAGAUUGAGUUUUCUAUUCUUUAAGACUUUUAUAUACAUGUAUUUAUUAUUAGAUUAUUUUAUAAUUUUUCUAGCCAUUUCCAUAUAUUUUUAUGAUAAAGUUAUAUUUGAUAAAUUAAGUUGGGGUGUUUUAAUCUUUUUCACAUAUCAAACAAUCUGUAUUGGGUUCCUUAAAGGUUUGAUAGAACUUGUCUUUAAAACCUCUGGUCCUGGUGCUUUUUAGUGGAUAGAUUUUUAACUACCAAUACCAAAUAAUUAUAGGUAUUUUUAUGUUUUCUAUUUUUAACUCUUGUCAUUUUUAAUAAUUAUACUAUUCCAGAAGUGUCACUUUGUUUCCAGUUUAAUAGUAUACAGUUAUAAAAGUUAUGU